rnacentral:rRNA from 1 species
AUGUUUUCGUUCCAGUCCAGAUCGCGCGUGAACAACUUCCAUGUCACUCUCUCCAACGCAGAGAAGGGCACGCAGCCGGUGAGCGCCUACUUCGCCUAUAUGCGCGGCCUCGCCGACGAGCUAGCGGCUGCUGGCAAGCCUCUAGAUGAGGACGGGCAGAUCACCUACAUCAUCGUCGGGCUGGGUAUGGAGUACCAACCACUGGUGUCAGCCCUCGACGCCCGCACCGAACCCGUCACGCUUGAUGAUCUGUUUGCUCAGGUGAGCAACUUCGAUCAGCGCGUGGCGAUGUUCCAAGGCAACAACAACAACGGGUUCAAGUCCUCCGCCAACGCCGCUGUUCAUGGUGGCCGUGGUGGCUUCCGCCCUCGUGGUCUGCCGCGCGGCAAGAGCAAAGGCAAUGGCGGCGGCAACUACAGCAAAAACAACGUUGGCGUUGCUCCUCGCACCGAUGCCGGCGGACGACCCUCCUCCAACAACAACAGGGGUCGCCGUUCCUCCUCCAAGAAUCGUCCCAAUGCCAUCCGCUGUCAGAUAUGCGGGAAUCUGGGCCACUCUGCCAAAGACUGCUGGUACAGGGAAGAUGAAGGUGACUCCUCCUAG